rnacentral:rRNA from 1 species
UACGUAGGGGGCUAGCGUUGUCCGGAUUUAUUGGGCGUAAAGAGCGUGUAGGCGGCCAGGUAGGUCUGCUGUGAAAACUCGAGGCUCAACCUCGAGACGUCGGCGGAAACCAACUGGCUAGAGUCCGGAAGAGGAGAGUGGAAUUCCUGGUGUAGCGGUGAAAUGCGCAGAUAUCAGGAAGAACACCCGUGGUGAAGGCGGCUCUCUGGGACGGUACUGACGCUGAGACGCGAAAGCGUGGGGAGCGAACAGG